rnacentral:misc_RNA from 1 species
AUAGCCAAGGCUAUUGCAAGUCUCACAAGAUGCCGUCUAUCACCACUGCCAAGCGCGAGUACGAGGAGCGCCUCGUCGACUGCCUGACCAAGUACAGCUGCGUGCUGUUCGUGGGCAUGGACAACGUCCGCUCGCAGCAGGUGCACGAUGUGCGCCGUGCGCUGCGCGGCAAGGCCGAGUUCAUUAUGGGCAAGAAGACGCUGCAGGCGAAGAUCGUGGAGAAGCGCGCGCAAGCCAAGGACGCGAGCCCCGAGGCGAAGCGCUUCAACGAUCAGUGUGAGGAGUACAACCUGCUGAGCGGCAACACCGGCCUCAUCUUCACUAACAACGCUGUCCAGGAGAUCACCUCUGUGCUUGACGCGCACCGCGUGAAGGCCCCGGCGCGUGUCGGAGCGAUUUCCCCGUGCGACGUGGUUGUGCCUGCUGGCAGCACCGGCAUGGAGCCGACCCAGACGUCCUUCUUCCAGGCGCUGAACAUUGCGACGAAGAUUGCCAAGGGUAUGGUGGAGAUCGUGACGGAGAAGAAGGUGCUGAGCGUCGGCGACAAGGUGGACAACUCGACGGCGACGCUGCUGCAAAAGCUGAACAUCAGCCCGUUCUACUACCAGGUGAAUGUGCUGUCCGUGUGGGACCGCGGUGUGCUGUUCACCCGCGAGGACCUCAUGAUGACGGAGGACAUGGUGGAGAAGAUUCUGAUGGAAGGCCUGAGCAACGUUGCGGCGAUGGCGCUGGGUGCUGGCAUCCCGACGUCUUCGACGAUUGGCCCGAUGCUGGUGGACGCCUUCAAGAACCUGCUGGCUGUCUCCGUGGCGACCUCGUACGAGUUCGAGGAGCACAACGGCAAGGAGCUGCGCGAGGCCGCGAUCAACGGCCUGCUGGCCGGCUCUGGCUCGGCUGCUGCGGAGCCCGCCGCUGCCGCGCCGGCCGCCCCUAGCGCUGCUGCCAAGGAGGAGCCGGAGGAGAGCGACGAGGACGACUUCGGCAUGGGCGGUCUCUUCUAAGCGACUCGCUAUCCGCCACCCAGCACCGUCGAGUGUUCGUGCGUUCGCAUGGUGGACAGUGGCGAGCGUGUGAUGCCCUUGGAUCAUCAGGAAGCAACUCUCUCCCUUUCUCUGGGUGUUCUUCGUUUCUUCUUUCAUUUGUUUUUGAUCGCCGUGCGCCGCUGCGGCGAUCGCUCAGUUCUUAUUUUCGAUCAACCAACAACGAAGGAGACGACAGCAGACACGCGACACAUCUUCACGGAGGAAAGGGACGACGUACUAGCCGACAUGGUGAGCAAACCAUGCUGCAGCGGACCCUUGGGUGUGCCUGUACGUGCCGCACGCGCCCCACGAGAUGACAGGGAGUGCUGUGUACGUGUGCGCGUGUGGGAGGGGGAUGGCGGUGUGCUAGUGCUGCCCAGCUGCGCGAUGUGCUUCUUUUUCCCUCAGCUGACCCACGCUCGUGCGGCUGCUGAUGGGGUACGCACGUCGCCCGCGUUGGCCCUUCCUCACCCCUCCUCCUCCUUCACAAGAGCGUGCAUUGUGUCGCAGCUGCCCACUCAAUGCACGGUAGCUCAUUCUCCGUCUCGCUCUCUGUCGAUGUGCUGCCAUGACGUGCACGUAACAGAGAACUGAUGAUGGGACGGGGGCAAGGGCGAGAGGGGCUAGCAGGCACCAGGCGUGUGCGCGUACGCUCGUGCGUGUUGUCCCGCGUGCCGAAGCAAGGCUCUCUCGCAGACCGUAUUCAAGAUGCAACCCUGCGCACAUGCCUCUGUGGCUUGCAGCACAGAAAAUGAUGUGUCUACCGCUUCGUUCUCCCCUUUCAUCCUCUUGCUUUUUGAAAUUCCUUUUUUUUCGCGUGCCUGCUCCUCCUCGCGAUACGCGGCACGCCUCCACCUCACUCGCUGUGGUGACUUCC